UUAGCACCAGGAGCAGCACAAAGAGCAGAGAAUGUGGAAGCUUAACAGCCCAACCUCUUUCUUCAUUACGUUCAAUUAGAUCCUGGAAAUGGAUAUAGCUGCUGAUUACACGAAGAUAAAGAGAAGAAAUCAGGUCCCCAGAGUUUUGGUGAUGGCAAUGGGAGAGAAAAACUUGGGUAAGAAAAGGAAGAAAUAGAGAGUCACUCUCACCAUGGGCCAAAUCCCAAAGUACUGGACAUGCAAAGAGACCUGACUCAGCACUCUCAUCCCCCACCACAACAGCUGCCCUGGAGAUUUGCAAGCAAGGAAAAG